UACGUAGGGUGCGAGCGUUGUCCGGAAUUACUGGGCGUAAAGAGCUCGUAGGUGGUUUGUCGCGUUGUUCGUGAAAACUCACAGCUUAACUGUGGGCGUGCGGGCGAUACGGGCAGACUGGAGUACUGCAGGGGAGACUGGAAUUCCUGGUGUAGCGGUGGAAUGCGCAGAUAUCAGGAGGAACACCGGUGGCGAAGGCGGCACUCUGGGCCGUGACUGACGCUGAGGAGCGAAAGCGUGGGUAGCAAACAGG
rnacentral:rRNA from 1 species